GCCCAGCCCUGUCUCUUUUAGUCUGCAGUACGGAGCCAUGGUGAGAGGGAGAGAUUGUUUGUUGACUUGCGGUGCUGAUCCCAGAGCUGGACCUUGUGAUCUCAUUGGUUGGUUCGGUCAGCAGUAGCUUCCUGGUUCUAAUUUUCCCACCGUUACUGGAGAUGCUGACCUUCCAUACGGAUGGGCUCUCACCAUUGGUGAUCACAAAGAACGUGAUCAGCGGUGUGGGCUGAUCGGGUUUGCCACGGGAACCUACAGCGCGAUCAUGGAGCUUAUCAUACGCAACAACCCCCCGCACAGCCAGAACCUCUCCCCCUCCUACAUGCUGCAGUAAACCAUGAAAUGGAAAGGGGUUUGAAAGGGUGGGGACCUUACAAACUCAAGCCAGCCAAUUGUAUUAGCCGGGUCACAACUCAUUUUAUCUGUUGGUUAUUGUGUACAAAACUGCUGGAUUUUUUUUAAUUGUGGUGGUUUUAUUGCAUAGUUUUUUUAUUGUUUUUUAAUAAUUUUAACGCUGUAAAACGACAUGAACUGCUCCCAGGUCCAAUAGUGCAAUGCUUAAAUGGAAAUGUUUUAUGCCAAAUACAUUAGCUAAAUAUAGAUUAUAAAUACAUUUUGAUGCAUUUAUUCUUUAGCAGUAUGAUUUGUUUUUAGUUGCCUGACUUUUAAACUUUGUACUGUAACACAUGAGAGUCAAAAUGUGAUGUACCUCACAGUUCUAUCAUAACCCCAUAUUGGUAAUGCUAUGAACAUGACUAAUAUGGUAGUUUGAACUUUAUAACUAUUAUCAAACUUUCUAUGUUUUGUUAAUACUGCGGACGAUUUUUGACCUUUCCCCCUCGUAUUUUCUUGUUGCACUUUGAAUCAAGUCCAUUUCCUUUUAUGGAGAGUCCUCUAUUCGUAUGCAGGACAUCGUGUGUAAAAAACAGAAUCAAACAUGCUAAAUUUAAUUUAGUAUGAUGUUUUAAAUGAACAGUAAAGAAAAAAUGAAUUUGCCUUUGAACGUUAAAUUGUUAUUUUUUUUAGCCCAAUUUGACGGGUUCAUGUUUCCGAUUUUUUUUUUAAGAUAACAAAUUUGUAAUCAAUUGUUGGUGUGGGCAUCAUUUGAACAGCAGUUAAUUUGUUUUUUUUAUCUCGGAUGUUGUGCUGCUGGACAGAAAUGGGGAAGCUUAUUAGCCUUCAUACAGAAAGUGCCUCCAGUCAAACAUACACCUAGGUAGUAACUGCCAGCGCCACUUUUUAAAGUUAGCCAACAUUUACUAAGGUUAGAAGUUGGUUAUCAUUUUUUAUGGUAGGCCUUUACAUUCUGCAUUCUCUGACAGUUUUUAAGCCACACAAUACCAUUUAAAUCCAGGCUAAUUGAUGAUUCAGUACGGUAAUAGAAGCUGGAA